GUAGUGGCAGUUGGGUGCUAAGAGUUCCACAAUGGCACAGGUUUGAGUUGCGUGGAAGGCAAAAUUCCCCUUUUAUUUUUAAGCGGACCAAAGCUUCAGCAGGUAAGGUUUAUAAUUAAUUGUAACCAUAUUUUAGCAAAGGAUAAAAUGUGGUGCAGUGGCCAGCAGCUUAGGUGAAGGCAUAAGGGCGCAAGGCGGACGGAGGUUUGGGGUUCGAGCUUCAUCUCGUGCACGCAAG
rnacentral:lncRNA from 1 species